UGCAAGUCGAGGGGUAGAGGCCUUCGGGCCUUGAGACCGGCGCACGGGUGCGUAACGCGUAUGCAAUCUGCCUUCCACAGAGGGAUAGCCCAGAGAAAUUUGGAUUAAUACCUCAUAGCAUCAUGACCCGGCAUCGGGAUAUGAUUAAAGUCACAACGGUGGAAGAUGAGCAUGCGUCCCAUUAGCUAGUUGGUAAGGUAACGGCUUACCAAGGCUACGAUGGGUAGGGGUCCUGAGAGGGAGAUCCCCCACACUGGUACUGAGACACGGACCAGACUCCUACGGGAGGCAGCAGUGAGGAAUAUUGGUCAAUGGGCGCAAGCCUGAACCAGCCAUGCCGCGUGCAGGAUGACGGUCCUAUGGAUUGUAAACUGCUUUUGUACGGGAAGAAACCCUCCUACGUGUAGGAGCUUGACGGUACCGUAAGAAUAAGGAUCGGCUAACUCCGUGCCAGCAGCCGCGGUAAUACGGAGGAUCCAAGCGUUAUCCGGAAUCAUUGGGUUUAAAGGGUCUGUAGGCGGUCUUGUAAGUCAGUGGUGAAAGCCCAUCGCUCAACGGUGGAACGGCCAUUGAUACUGCUGGACUUGAAUUAUUGGGAAGCAACUAGAAUAUGUAGUGUAGCGGUGAAAUGCUUAGAGAUUACAUGGAAUACCAAUUGCGAAGGCAGGUUGCUACCAAUGGAUUGACGCUGAUGGACGAAAGCGUGGGUAGCGAACAGGAUUAGAUACCCUGGUAGUCCACGCCGUAAACGAUGGAUACUAGCUGUUGGGCGCAAGUUCAGUGGCUAAGCGAAAGUGAUAAGUAUCCCACCUGGGGAGUACGAACGCAAGUUUGAAACUCAAAGGAAUUGACGGGGGCCCGCACAAGCGGUGGAGCAUGUGGUUUAAUUCGAUGAUACGCGAGGAACCUUACCAAGGCUUAAAUGCAGACUGACCGGUUUGGAAACAGACCUUUCGCAAGACGGUCUACAAGGUGCUGCAUGGUUGUCGUCAGCUCGUGCCGUGAGGUGUCAGGUUAAGUCCUAUAACGAGCGCAACCCCUGUUGUUAGUUGCCAGCGAGUCUUGUCGGGAACUCUAGCAGAAUGCCAGUGCAACU
rnacentral:rRNA from 1 species